CUCUGCUGCGGAUUCCAACAAGGUAGCGGCUAGUUCCUGGCCAGUAGAAGGACCCUGGUGAUGUCACAGACCAUGUGACUGUUUGGUCACAUGGUACAGAGAAGUACAGGAAGUGAUCACCAGCCAUGCGGCUGCUCUGCUAAACAGGGGAGCUGAUGUGGAGGAAAUAAACUUCAGCUACAGUGGCAGAUGAGAAAAAUAAAUU